UCAACAAACACGUCACCAUUUUCUAGUUUUUUCCCUUUUUUUACAAGUUAUAUUUUAAGAGUGGAAUUUACCUCUUGACACUCAGAAAUUGACAGACGCAUCAGCUGAAAGGUCAAGAGUGUUUGGUUUGUCCGCUCUGGGCUGCUGUAGAAACAUGGCAGCCAGCCUGGAGGAGGACCCGCCUCCCUCUGCGGAUGCAAAAGGUUCAUUCUAACAUAAAACCGACGCAGCAACUCGUAGUUUCAGGCUGCCCUCGCUGCACACAUGCUGCACAGAUCCUGCAGCUGACCAGGGGGCCUGAAGACGAAGCCGGUCCCCAGGGAUGACCGAACCACCCUUUCUCAGACACCCAUUUGUCGUACCCAC
rnacentral:lncRNA from 1 species